UACGUAGGGGGCAAGCGUUGUCCGGAAUCAUUGGGCGUAAAGAGCGUGUAGGCGGCCAGAUAAGUCCGCUGUGAAAACUCGAGGCUCAACUUCGAGCUGUCGGUGGAAACUAUUUGGCUAGAGUCCGGAAGAGGAGAGUGGAAUUCCUGGUGUAGCGGUGGAAUGCGCAGAUAUCGGGAAGAACACCCGUGGCGAAGGCGGUUCUCUGGGACGGUACUGACGCUGAGACGCGAAAGCGUGGGGAGCGAACAGGAUUAGA
rnacentral:rRNA from 1 species